UGUAAUAAAGAUAAUCUAACGUUUUACCUAAUGAUAUAUAAGGAGGGCAUUUGCACAACAUGUUUCACAACAGCACACAACAAAAUUCCAGAGACAUAUUGAGCGACCAACUGAUACCAAUCACGACCACACCCAGAGACAGAUGGCUGACUUAAGCCCUAGCCACACGAACUGACCACUGGUGUAAAGAACAACAUUCCAUGAAUAUCGCAAGCACCCAGACACGAAUUACCAGAAAUACACACACACCCACACACACACUUAGGUGUGUUGGACUCCGAGGACAAAGGACACUGCCAAGGGCCAAGUCAGUCAUAAAGUGGCUGCAAAUCAGUAACAAGCACCUGAGACAGGUGGAGGAGAGAUUCGGGAUUGUACACAAAUUUGGGUAGGUGUGCAGGCCCCAAUCUCAGGGCCUCGUGGAACGCGCCACUCAAACCCUUAAGGCUAAAUAGCUAAGGUAUGUGCAGGUUUGAAUAUGCCUGGUCCACCAAGGGAGGGAGGUCAUAUGCCCGCCCUUGAUGUACAACAAAUUGUAAUGUCUGUAUGUGAGAAAACUGACGGAACUUUCUGCAGCUCUCUCCACACAGAUCCGCAAGGUCAAAGAGGGGGAGCUGUUGGGAGACUCGCCACCACUGAAGGUAAAUCAGGAGCACCUUGGCACCACCUUACACAUUGCACUCCAGCCCCAACCCCUUCCAGAACUUUGACUGAAACCAGGGCCGAUUUGCGCGCCCUACAUAAAUUUGAUUCCAACCACUGAAACCUUAGUUGGGGAAAAUGGGACAAUGGCUUCCGUUUCCACGACCUAAGGCACCACGCCCAGGGUCGGGGUACAUCCCUCCCUGGGAGAGGCUGGGGAUAUCAGCUCCCGUUUGUUAUUUUUGUGAGUGUACACUACUAGGCUGAUCACCACCGCUAUUGACCCUGGUCAGGUAGAUAGGGGCCUAAUGUUUCCUUUGCUUCAGGUGGAAGACACUGAACCCGAGUAUGCAUUCGAAUAGUUUAGUUUUCACGCCUGCCACGCGGGAGGCCCGGGUUCGGAUCCCAGCCCAUGCACCAUGGGACUAAAAUGUAAGAAGAUAUGUUUUGCCUGGAGAGAUACGGUUGCUAGCGUUUGUUUAAGAUAUAAAUGUAACGUUUUGAUAGCUUGAUUAGUUUAAAUUGAAAGGCUAACUAAUUAGAAAAUAAUAGCGAGAGAAUUUUGAUAUAAUACGUUCUCUGUUGCUGGAAAUGGCAUACAGAGAAAGAGUUGAAUGAUGUUAUUUUUAUAAGUAUGGCGAUUUACAUGGUACAUAUAAGGACAUAGACAUUUCAUAAGUGUGAAGCCGAAAGAGAGAUACAGUUGGAAUAUUGGUUUUAAUCUUGUGAUAGAGGAAAGGCAGAACGCGUUUUGUUUUGUGAUAAAUUCUGGUUAUUGAUUCGUGGUAUUGAUUGUUUAGUAACACCAGUGAAUUGAACAUUGCAAGGAAAAAUAUCAAGUCAUUAAGGUGAAUUACAGGUGGAGUUAAUUUUAUAAUUAACUGGGAAGGUGCACAUUAAUCACAGUUGUGUAUAAUGGCAGGGUAUUCCUAGCAAACAGAAUGUGCCGGUUUGCAGACAAACUGAAAGGGUUUUAGGGUUUUAAGCAAUCUUGGGUCAAAUUGGUUAAAUAGUACGUUAAAAUAUGGGGUUUCAUAGAUUGAAGUACAGUAUUGUAUCCAAGGGUAGCGCAUGUUCAAUUAAGUUUAAAACUAAUGAUUGGGGGGAGUACAAUGGAAGUAUAAGCAUUUUUAGGUUUUGUUUGUAGUUAACUUUUGGGUUUCUGAAUCGGUGUAGUAUGAGGAAAUGCUGACCAAGUGGUUAUUUUAUGGAAUAUGGAGCGCUUAGCUCUUUGGGGAAAAAUUCCUAGGGACAGGAUAUCUUAAAGGGGUAGACACACAUGGCAUUUUAAAGUUUUAUUUUCUGAGUUUUAAUUUAACACGUGAAAUUCUUUUGAUAGGGAAUGUUCUAGGAACUUGAGAUACGAAAUGUAGAUAAGGUUAUUAGCUUUCAUUUGUCUAAUGUAGUAAGAAAGAAAAAACGGUUCUGAAAAGGGGUUAUGACUUUUUUGACCCCACUGGUGACUUUUCCUUUUGUGGUCUGAUCAGCCGCAAUGAAAAGCCAUUGGAUGGUGAAUUUAAGGUCAUUUGGGAUACUAACUUUAAGGAAGCUAGGAGAACUGAUAAUUAUGAUGGAGUUAAAGUUCUUAGACACAAUUGAUCAUUUGAACCAAUGAGAAGACAAAAUGACGAAAAGGGUACAAUAAUUUUUCUUUGGGGAGUAGUUCAGAUUAGUCAUUUUGAUCUGAUUAUGUUACGUGAAUAUCGUUUGAUAAGUAGAGGUACUUUUUACAUUAUCUAGAUAAGUUUAUUUUCCCUUAGGAAGUCAGCUGUGGUUGUAUUUAGUGGAAGAGAUUUAACACAACAAGACUGUGGAAUUAAUAUAAUAGUAAUAUUAUAUUUUGUUGAUAAAACAGGUUAAUAAUGGUAGACUUAAGCCAACAGGACAGGAAUAUAUGACAUCUGUAGGGAAUCCAGGAUUAUUGAGGGUAUCGAGAUAAAUGUAAGUAGCUAUGUAAUAAGACCAUGAGACAUUUAGUACUCCCCUGCACUGCUGAGACCUUGAUGGGUUGGAAGAAGAAGGAGGAGAGCAUAAACAAGGAAGAGAAGAUAAAAGUAACAUAGAAGAAUUAGAUAACGGUUAGUGAGUGGAGACCAGCAUAGUUAAAUUAUAAACAGGUGAGGACAGAAAUAACACUGGAGAGACAGAAAAGACAUAAGAAUAGAAGAUGUUAGGUUCAUUUAGUUAGUCUCUCCAUGUAUUAAUAUCCUAUCGGCUCCAUAGGCAUGUAUUAUAGUUAUGAUUUUAAGUUAUGUUUGGUAAAAUUCGCUAGGAAAAGAUAUGAUAAUUUAGUUGAAAGAAGUUGUUCAAUCUUAAAGAAGAUAGGACACUUGAUAGAGAAAUGCACAGGGUAGCUAAGGAUGAAUGCCCCAGGGAGAAUUGGACAUGUGGUAUAUGAAAGGGGGCAAUCCUACAAGAGAAGGGCUGACAUAAGGAUAAUUUACUAACCUUACAAAAGACAUUGUUAAGAAAUGCAGCAAAAUUGAUACAUGGCUUGAGCCAUGUAUAAAUAGGGGGAGUAUGGUAGAGCAGGCGAUAGAACAGGAUAGGAUGCUACUAGAACAAAAACAUUUUUUGUAGAAUGUCCAUUCCAACAUUUGGAAAUGGACUUAUUGAACUAUUCAGAAUUAAGGGGAAGAAGGGG
rnacentral:lncRNA from 1 species